GCCUAAAAUCUAGCUUACCACAACACCCCUUCUUUCAACACAAAACAAAAUAUUUUCACAGCCUAGUAAAGAAGAUUAAAAAACUAUUUUAAGCUAUAAAUAUGUACCGCAAGGGAAAGAUGAAAUAAAAAUGAAAUAGCUUAAAGCACAAAAAAGUAGAGACUCCACCUCGUACCUUUUGCAUCAUGGUUUAGCUAGUCUAACUAGGCAAAAAGCCCUAAAGUCUAACCCCCCGAAACUAAGUGAGCUAUUUUGAGGCCGCUUUCUGAGCCAACCCGUCUAUGUUACAGAAUAGUGGGAAGACCUUAAAAUAGAGGUGACAGACCUAACGAACUUAGUUAUAGCUGGUUUCUCAUGAAAAGAAUUUUAGUUCCACCUAAAGCAAUAUAAAUUUAACAAAAUAUUCCCAACUUUAGAGUAACUCAAAUAAGGUACAGCCUAUUUGACACAGGAUCCAACCUUCACUUACGGGUAAAAACUUAUUAUCCACCCAAAGUAGGCCUAAUAGCAGCCAUCUUUAAAAAAGCGUCACAGCUUAACGUGUAAACAUAAAUUCACCUAUACUAAUUGACCCCUUCAACUGUACUGAGAACUUCUAUAACCUUAUAGAAAUUAUUCUGCUAAAACUAGUAACACAGAGAAUUAACCUCUCUCUCUAAUGCAAACAUAAGCCAGAAAGAAUACAUCACUGGCGACUAACAGACUUAAACAAAAGUAGCAACUCUCCUAGAAAACCCCACUUACACAACUGUUAACCUAACACCAGAGCAUUUCCAGAAAGAUUAAAAGAAAAAGAAGGAACUCGGCACAUAUUAAUCCCGCCUGUUUACCAAAAACAUCGCCUCUUGUUUUCAUAAGAGGUCCAGCCUGCCCAGUGACCUAGUUCAACGGCCGCGGUAUCCUAACCGUGCGAAGGUAGCGUAAUCACUUGUCUUCUAAAUAAAGACUAGUAUGAAAGGCAUCACGAGGAUUAAACUGUCUCCCUUUUCUAAUCAGUGAACCUAAUCUCCCCGUGAAGAGGCGGGGAUUUUCAAAUAAGACGAGAAGACCCUAUGGAGCUUCAAACACUAUAACACCUGCCAUGUGCUCACAUAAGUGUUCCGGCACGAUAAUUAUAGGUUUUUGGUUGGGGUGACCGCGGAGAAAAUAUCACCCUCCGCGAUGAUUUUAGGACUCCUCCUAGACAACAAGCGACAGCUUUAGGUAUCAGUAAACUGACACUAUUGACCCAAUAUAUUGAUCAACGAACCAAGUUACCCUAGGGAUAACAGCGCAAUCCACUUCAAGAGCCCCUAUCGACAAGUGGGCUUACGACCUCGAUGUUGGAUCAGGGUAUCCAAGUGGUGCAGCCGCUACUAAAGGUUCGUUUGUUCAACGAUUAAAACCCUACGUGAUCUGAGU
rnacentral:rRNA from 1 species